GACCCUAUAGAGUUUGAUAUUUAGUAGAAUUUAUUUUUUUUAGAAUUUAUAAAUUGAAUUUUUCUAAUUAUUUGGUUGGGGUGAUUAAAAAAUUAAAAUAACUUUUUUUUUAUUGUCACAUUAAUUUAUGAGUAUUUGAUCCAUUUAUUAUGAUUAUAAGAUUAAAUUACCUUAGGGAUAACAGCGUAAUUUUUUUUGAGAGUUCAAAUCGAAAAAAAAGAUUGCGACCUCGAUGUUGGAUUAAAAUAAAUAUUUGGUGUAGAAGCUAAAUUAAUUGGGUCUGUUCGACCUUUAAAAUUUUACAUGAUCUGA
rnacentral:rRNA from 1 species